CCCACGUACAAGCCAGGCAAGGCUGCACAUACCUGUAAUUCCAGGUCUGGAGAGUGGAGACAGAAAGAUCCAGGCUAGCCAGUCUUGCCAAUUAGGGAAGGACAGACUCAGAAAAUGAAAUAGGAAAUGUGUUCCUCUGACCUACGAGAGGGGCAUAAUGUGCAGGUUAACAUAGAUAGCUCACGUAAUAUCACACACACACACACACACACACACACACACAAAUGUAAAUAUCUCAGAACAAACAGAAUCAGACUUCCUGCUUGCCUGUUCACAUAUGUGCUCGAAUGUGUAGGGAGGCCAGAGGUCAACUUCAGAUGUCUCUCUUCAGGAGCACCGUGCUUUUCCAACAACUUUUUACACUUGUUGAUGGGUAGAUGGGUUAUGGGUGUGUAUAGGUCAGAGGACAACUUUCAAGAGCUGGUUCUCAGCUUCACCCGUGGGACCUGGGGAUUGCCAGGCUCUGUAGCAAGCACCUCUACCUGCUGAGUCAUCUAGUGGCCCCACCUUGGUUUGUGAUGGACUCAUUAAGGGAGGCUGGCCGUCCAGCUAGCCCCAGGAAUUUGCCUGCCUCGACUCCACAUCUCUGGGAUGGUGAGGGAGGCCUACCUUGAACACUCUGUAGGGUUUGGACUGUCAACAUCAAGUGAAAUUUCUCAAGAACCAACAGGAUUGGGGUAAGAAAGUCCCUGCUGGCCCAUGCAGGCACAGGCAUGCACACUGGGGCUGAGGAGAAUUCUGGAAUCAAGGAGGCAGCUGAACAAGACACAGCUGUUUGGAGACCAGCAUUCUGGGGAAGGCCCCUCUCUGUACAGCCCAGGAGGGAAUCUCUGAAUAGUUGCACUCUUGGACUGCGCUCAGUGUUCCUCAUCAGCUGGAGGCCGCAUCAUCAGCUUCAUUUUGUUGCCUCUGUCAUUGUUUUGGAGCCUUAGAGCGUGAACGUGCCUGGCCCCCUGCCAUGGCUGCAGGAGUGGAGCCAGGGUGUGUACUGCAGCCCAGAGGAGGAGCCUCACACUCUUCUGCAAAAAGAUUCCAGGGAGGAAAUCUGGAAAGUCUUUUCAAAACAACUCACAAAGGAAGGAGAGCUGCCAACUCUUGCAGGGUUGGUUUGCCCUAAUAAAUGAUCAGUUACUUAACGUGAGCACCACUCAGUGCUUCUUCCAUGCUGGAAGCCCUGGCCCCAGCAAGGGAGCGAAGGCUUUGUAUGACCAGGAGGACAUUCUGAGUCAUGAUCAGCAUGGAGGCCCCGUGAUCAGGACAGGAGGAGGGGACCAUAGAGAGGCUGAGGGAAGUGGUCGUCUCACACAGUAAAGCACUGCUAACAGACGA